rnacentral:rRNA from 1 species
CCCGUUGAACUCAAUAGACCGGGGCGGCGAUAUUCAACCGUGCGUCGGCGCGCACCCGUGUGUGCUGGCCGCGGGGCACUUAUCGAUCCGCAGCGUACGGACAUCGCGAUCCAUUACGAAAGUGCCGGGGUGCGCAAGCGCCCAGCGCAUGGUCCAACAAGGGUCUCAGGCUUGUGCAGUCGACCCUCCAGUAGCAGCACUUAGCUCAGAAGGCCUGUGCUGCGAACGGGGGAUUCGGUGCGUGUGGGCAACCGCAGGUAUCGAAAUUCGGCCUAGUCGAGUGUACCGUUGGAAGCGUGAUGGACUCACACGGAACGGGGGUACAUGGAAGCGCUUGCCGCAAGGCAAGUUCCGGCACCUAGCCAUGGAGCUACCAUUGUCCUGAUCGGCGAUGUAUAACACUUAUUGAGGUACCUACGGG